UCCAGCAGACACGUCACCCUGUAACUCACAUCUGGCAACCUGCCAGAAGCUCAGCAGGUGUGAGCCUGGUCAGUACUUGGAUGGAAGACCUCCUGGAAAAAACUAAGGUUGCUGCUGGAC
rnacentral:rRNA from 1 species